AUUGAACGCUGGCGGCAUGCUUUACACAUGCAAGUCGAACGGUAACAGGCCGCAAGGUGCUGACGAGUGGCGAACGGGUGAGUAAUGCAUCGGAACGUGCCCAGUCGUGGGGGAUAACGCAGCGAAAGCGGUGCUAAUACCGCAUACGAUCUAUGGAUGAAAGCGGGGGACCGUAAGGCCUCGCGCGAUUGGAGCGGCCGAUGUCAGAUUAGGUCGUUGGUGGGGUAAAGGCUCACCAAGCCAACGAUCUGUAGCUGGUCUGAGAGGACGACCAGCCACACGGGGACUGAGACACGGCCCAGACUCCUACGGGAGGCAGCAGUGGGGAAUUUUGGACAAUGGGCGCAAGCCUGAUCCAGCAAUGCCGCGUGCAGGAAGAAGGCCUUCGGGUUGUAAACUGCUUUUGUACGGAACGAAAAGGUCUGGGUUAAUACCCUGGGCUGAUGACGGUACCGUAAGAAUAAGCACCGGCUAACUACGUGCCAGCAGCCGCAGUAACAC
rnacentral:rRNA from 1 species